UACAGAGGGCUCAAGCGUUGUUCGGAUUCAUUGGGCGUAAAGGGUGCGUAGGCGGCGCGGUAAGUCGGGUGUGAAAUCUCGGAGCUUAACUCCGAAACUGCAUUCGAUACUGCCGUGCUUGAGGACUGGAGAGGAGACUGGAAUUUACGGUGUAGCGGUGAAAUGCGUAGAUAUCGUAAGGAAGACCAGUGGCGAAGGCGGGUCUCUGGACAGUUCCUGACGCUGAGGCACGAAGGCGAGGGGAGCAAACGGG
rnacentral:rRNA from 1 species